CAAACCCUUGACCACGGUAUAGUCAGCGACUGGGGUGAAGUCGUAACAAGGUAGCCGUAGGGGAACCUGCGGCUGGAUUACCUCCUUU
rnacentral:rRNA from 1 species